rnacentral:rRNA from 1 species
UGGGGAAUUUUGGACAAUGGGGGCAACCCUGAUCCAGCCAUCCCGCGUGUGCGAUGAAGGCCUUCGGGUUGUAAAGCACUUUUGGCAGGGAAGAAACAGCCUGGGAUAAUACCCCGGGCGACUGACGGUACCUGCAGAAUAAGCACCGGCUAACUACGUGCCAGCAGCCGCGGUAAUACGUAGGGUGCAAGCGUUAAUCGGAAUUACUGGGCGUAAAGCGUGCGCAGGCGGUUCGGAAAGAAAGGUGUGAAAUCCCAGGGCUUAACCUUGGAACUGCACUUUUAACUACCGAGCUAGAGUACGUCAGAGGGGGGUAGAAUUCCACGUGUAGCAGUGAAAUGCGUAGAGAUGUGGAGGAAUACCGAUGGCGAAGGCAGCCCCCUGGGAUGAUACUGACGCUCAUGCACGAAAGCGUGGGGAGCAAACAGGAUUAGAUACCCUGGUAGUCCACGCCCUAAACGAUGUCAACUAGCUGUUGGGGUUUAUUAACCUUAGUAGCGCAGCUAACGCGUGAAGUUGACCGCCUGGGGAGUACGGUCGCAAGAUUAAAACUUAAAGUGAAUUAACGGGGGUCAUAGCUG